AGCUUUGCACAGUGGCAGUAUUGUAGCCAAUGAGGUUUACCCAAGGCGUGAUUAUUGCUAAUUGAAAACUUUUCCCAAUACCCCGCCAUGAUGACUGGAAAUAUAGUAGGCAUUGGCAAUUUUUGGCAGUCUCUAUGGGGA
ensembl:snRNA U4 U4 spliceosomal RNA